AGUGAACGCUGGCGGUAGGCCUAACACAUGCAAGUCGAACGGCAGCACAGUAAGAGCUUGCUCUUACGGGUGGCGAGUGGCGGACGGGUGAGGAAUACAUCGGAAUCUACUUUUUCGUGGGGGAUAACGUAGGGAAACUUACGCUAAUACCGCAUACGACCUACGUGUGAAAUCAUGGGAUCUUCGGACCUUGCGCGAUUGAAUGAGCCGAUGUCGGAUUAGCUAGUUGGCGGGGUAAAGGCCCACCAAGGCGACGAUCCGUAGCUGGUCUGAGAGGAUGAUCAGCCACACUGGAACUGAGACACGGUCCAGACUCCUACGGGAGGCAGCAGUGGGGAAUAUUGGACAAUGGGCGCAAGCCUGAUCCAGCCAUACCGCGUGGGUGAAGAAGGCCUUCGGGUUGUAAAGCCCUUUUGUUGGGAAAGAAAAGCAGCAGGUUAAUACCCCGCUGUUCUGACGGUACCAAAAGAAUAAGCACCGGCUAACUUCGUG
rnacentral:rRNA from 1 species